rnacentral:rRNA from 1 species
UACGUAGGGUGCGAGCGUUGUCCGGAAUUAUUGGGCGUAAAGGGCUCGUAGGCGGUUUGUCACGUCAGGAGUGAAAACUCGGGGCUCAACCCCGAGCCUGCUUCUGAUACGGGCAGACUGGAGGUAUGCAGGGGAGAACGGAAUUCCUGGUGUAGCGGUGAAAUGACGCAGAUAUCAGGAGGAACACCGAUGGCGAAGGCAGAUCUCUGGGCCGUAACUGACGCUGAGGAGCGAAAGCGUGGGGAGCAAACAGG